UGGGGAAUUUUGGACAAUGGACGCAAGUCUGAUCCAGCCAUGCCGCGUGCGGAAAGAAGGCCUUCGGGUUGUAAACCGCUUUUGUCAGGGAAGAAACGAGUUUCUCUAAUACAGAGACUUAAUGACGGUACCUGAAGAAUAAGCACCGGCUAACUACGUGCCAGCAGCCGCGGUAAUACGUAGGGUGCGAGCGUUAAUCGGAAUUACUGGGCGUAGAGCGUGCGCAGGCGGUUAUAUAAGACAGAUGUGAAAUCCCCGGGCUCAACCUGGGAACUGCGUUUGUGACUGCAUAACUAGAGUACGGCAGAGGGGGAUGGAAUUCCGCGUGUAGCAGUGAAAUGCGUAGAUAUGCGGAGGAACACCGAUGGCGAAGGCAAUCCCCUGGACCUGUACUGACGCUCAUGCACGAAAGCGUGGGGAGCAAACA
rnacentral:rRNA from 1 species